GAUGAACGCUGGCGGCGUGCCUAAUACAUGCAAGUCGAGCGAACAGAUAAGGAGCUUGCUCCUUUGACGUUAGCGGCGGACGGGUGAGUAACACGUGGGUAACCUACCUAUAAGACUGGGAUAACUUCGGGAAACCGGAGCUAAUACCGGAUAAUAUUUCGAACCGCAUGGUUCGAUAGUGGAAGAUGGUUUUGCUAUCACUUAUAGAUGGACCCGCGCCGUAUUAGCUAGUUGGUAAGGUAACGGCUUACCAAGGCGACGAUACGUAGCCGACUUGAGAGGGUGAUCGGCCACACUGGAACUGAGACACGGUCCAGACUCCUACGGGAGGCAGCAGUAGGGAAUCUUCCGCAAUGGGCGAAAGCCUGACGGAGCAACGCCGCGUGAGUGAUGAAGGUCUUCGGAUCGUAAAACUCUGUUAUUAGGGAAGAACAUACGUGUAAGUAACUGUGCACGUCUUGACGGUACCUAAUCAGAAAGCCACGGCUAACUACGUG
rnacentral:rRNA from 1 species